rnacentral:rRNA from 1 species
GUGGUUUAAUUCGAAGCAACGCGAAGAACCUUACCUGGCCUUGACAUGCUGAGAACUUUCCAGAGAUGGAUUGGUGCUCGAAAGAGAACGCUAACACAGGUGCUGCAUGGCUGUCGUCAGCUCGUGUCGUGAGAUGUGGGUUAAGUCCCGCAACGAGCGCAACCCUUGCCAUUAAUUGCCAUCAUUUAGUUGGGCACUUUAAUGGGACUGCCGGUGACAAACCGGAGGAAGGUGGGGAUGACGUCAAGUCCUCAUGGCCCUUAUGGCCAGGGCUUCACACGUAAUACAGUGGUCGGUACAGAGGGUUGCCAAGCCGCGAGGUGGAGCCAAUCCCAGAAAGCCGAUCGUAGUCCGGAUUGUAGUCUGCAACUCGACUACAUGAAGUCGGAAUCGCUAGUAAUCGCGGAUCAGCAUGUCGCGGUGAAUACGUUCCCGGGCCUU